rnacentral:rRNA from 1 species
CCCGAAACCAGGUGAGCUACCCCGAGACAGCCUAUAUUAAUUUAGGGCUAACCCGUCUCUGUGGCAAAAGAGUGGGAAGAGCUCCGGGUAGAAGUGAAAGACCUACCGAACCUGGUGAUAGCUGGUUGACUGAGAAAUGGAUAGAAGUUCAGCCUCGCACACCCCAAACCAAAAAGUAUUAUCAACAAGAUAUUAAGGGAAACGUGCGAGAGUUAGUUGAAAGGGGUACAGCCCUUUUAACAAAGGAUACAACCUUUACAGGAGGAUAAAGAUCAUAAUGUAUAAGAUAUACUGUUCUAGUGGGCCUGAAAGCAGCCACCUAAACAGAAAGCGUUAAAGCUCGGACAGAAAGAAGUUUAUUAUACUGAUAAAAAAUCUUAUUCCCCUAGCUAUAUCAGACCAACCCAUGCCUCCAUGGAAGAGAUUAUGCUAAAAUGAGUAAUAAGAAGACCAGCUCUUCUCCCAGCACAAGUGUAAACCAGAUCGGACUAACCACUGGAACUUAACGAACCCAACCCCAGAGGGUAGUGUGAUUAACAAAAAACUCAAGAAGACCUCACAUUGAUUGAUCGUUAACCCCACACUGGAGUGCUAUUUUAAGGGGAAAGACUAAAAGAAGGGGAAGGAACUCGGCAAACACAAGCCUCGCCUGUUUACCAAAAACAUCGCCUCCUGCAACUAGACUGAGUAUAGGAGGUCCAGCCUGCCCAGUGACUACGGGUUCAACGGCCGCGGUAUCUUGACCGUGCAAAGGUAGCGCAAUCACUUGUCUCUUAAAUAGAGACCUGUAUGAAUGGCUAGACGAGGGCUUAACUGUCUCCCCCCUCCAGUCAGUGAAAUUGAUCUAUCCGUGCAGAAGCGGGUAUAAAUAUACAAGACGAGAAGACCCUUUGGAGCUUAAGGUACAAAAUUCAGCCACGUUAAACAACUCCAUAAGAAGCAAGAACUUAGUGAUAAUGAAAUUUUACCUUCGGUUGGGGCGACCGCGGAGGAAAAACAAGCCUCCGAGUGGACUGGGCCAAAUCCCUGAAGCCAAUAGAGACAUCUAUAAGCCGCAGAACAUCUGACCAAAAAUGAUCCGGCUAAAAGCCGAUCAACGAACCAAGUUACCCAAGGGAUAACAGCGCAAUCCCCUCCCAGAGCCCAUAUCUACGAGGGGGUUUACGACCUCGAUGUUGGAUCAGGACAUCCUAAUGGUGC